UACGUAGGGGGCGAGCGUUGCCCGAAUUUACUGGGCGUAAAGGGCACGUAGGCGGUUCCGUAAGUCUGGUGUGAAAUCUCUCGGCUCAACUGGGAGGCUGCACCAGAUACUGCGGAACUCGAGGACGGGAGAGGAGAUUGGAAUUCCCGGUGUAGCGGUGAAAUGCGUUGAUAUCGGGAGGAACACCAGUGGCGAAGGCGGAUCUCUGGCCCGUUCCUGACGCUAAGGUGCGAAAGCUGGGGGAGCGAAAGGG
rnacentral:rRNA from 1 species